rnacentral:lncRNA from 12 species
AUGAGGAAGAUUGAUGAUUGGCAAAGGGCUCCUUCCUGCUGCUGGGCCACUGCCACUGCUGUCUUCCUCCAAAACACUGCCUGGCACCUAGAGCAUGGCGCCGCUAAGCAUCAGUGCACAAGAGAACACGAGUGCAAAGACUCAUCGGACACCUGCUAUGUGCGGGACUCAGCUGAAUCCAUGAACUCCAUGACAGCAGGUUUUGAGAAUUUGACAAAGGGAGAAUCACAUAGGAGUGGAGUAGAAAAGAGGAAAGGCUUCCUGGAAGAGAGAGGAUGGAGAUGGGUCCUGCAGAAGCCAUCAGCCCUGGAUGGGCAACCAAUGGCCUGUGAGGCUCUCCCGACAGUGACCAGUGUUCUGGCACAGCUUGGGGGAAGAGUGCUCCAAUUUUGUGACAGCACAGAGUGUGCCAAAAAUCACAUGAGUACGAGUCCAUUAAAUGAACUAGAAUACAGUAGACAAGCUAUAGGGACAGAAAGUAGAUCAGUGUUUGCCUAG